rnacentral:rRNA from 1 species
AGCGAACGUUAGCGGGAGGCUUAACACAUGCAAGUCGAGCGCGAACGUCACCUUCGGGUGACUAGUAGAGCGGCGGACGGGUGAGUAACACGUGGGUAAUCUGCCCUCUGGUGGGGGACAACAUUCCGAAAGGGAUGCUAAUACCGCAUAAGUCGUCGUGGUCUGCGGGCCAUGACGGGAAAGUGGCAACACGCCAGAGGAGGGGCCCGCGUCGCAUCAGCUUGUUGGUGAGGUAAUGGCUCACCAAGGCAAAGACGCGUAGCUGGUCUGAGAGGAUGAUCAGCCACACUGGGACUGAGACACGGCCCAGACUCCUACGGGAGGCAGCAGUGGGGAAUAUUGGACAAUGGGCGAAAGCCUGAUCCAGCCAUCCCGCGUGAGUGAUGAAGGCCCUCGGGUCGUAAAGCUCUGUGGAGAGGGACGAACAAGCACUUCGAGUGCCCUGACGGUACCUCUUUAGCAAGCACCGGCUAACUCCG